rfam:Oryza glaberrima chromosome 11 Oglab11_0321_3, whole genome shotgun sequence.
AAAAAGACAAACCCUGGGUUUGCGUGUCCAACUUUGACUGUCCAUCUUAUAUGAAAUUUUUUUAUAAUUCGUAUUUUCAUUGUUGUAGAUGAUAAAACAUGAUUAAUAUUUUAUGCGUGACUUGUCUUUUUAAUUUUAUUCAUAAUUUUUUCAAAUAAGACAGACGGUCAAACGUUGGGCACGGAAACCAGGGUUUGCUUUUUUU